AAAUUCUUCUGGAUAUUCCCAUGAAUCCGGAUCUCUCAGCACCGCAUAAGCGUUUACCAUCAUUGUUGUGUUCUGCCCUAUGUAAUACCCUCCGAUCUUGCAUCCUUCUGUUGCAUUCCUCACCAAGAUUGGCGUAUGCGGGUGUAGUCUUAGCCCUUCUUUCAUCACAGCCUGUAAAUACGGCAGGUUGGGG